rnacentral:rRNA from 1 species
GCCGUAACUAUAACGGUCCUAAGGUAGCGAAAUUCCUUGUCGGGUAAGUUCCGACCUGCACGAAUGGUGUAACGAUCUGGGCACUGUCUCAACCACGGGCUCGGUGAACUUGAGGUGCCGGUGAAGACACCGGCUACCCGCAUAUGGACGGAAAGACCCCGUGCACCUUUACUGCACCCUAGCAUUGGGUUUGGGUACGGUAUGUGUAGGAUAGGUGGGAGACUGUGAAACUGGUGCGCCAGCAUCGGUGGAGUCGCCGUUGAAAUACCACCCUUACUUUAUCUGAAUUCUAACCUGCCGCCGUGAAUCCGGCGGAGGGACAGUGUUAGGCGGGUAGUUUGACUGGGGCGGUCGCCUCCUAAAAAGUAACGGAGGCUCUCAAAGGUACCCUCAGCAUGGUUGGUAAUCAUGCGCCGAGUGUAUACGCAUAAGGGUGCUUGACUGCGAGACCGACGGGUCGAGCAGGUGCGAAAGCAGGAGUAAGUGAUCCGACGGUUGGGUGUGGAACUGCCGUCGCUCAAAGGAUAAAAGGUACGCCGGGGAUAACAGGCUGAUCUCCCCCAAGAGUCCACAUCGACGGGGAGGUUUGGCACCUCGAU